rnacentral:lncRNA from 1 species
GUUUAUUUUUAAAUUAUAUUUAAUAUCACUAUGCAAAUUUUAUCAAUGUCAAUUUUUGUAGAGUCUUACAUGAAGAACUACAUGUACCCCUCAGCAAGGACAUCAGAUAUUGAAGAAUUGAUUGGGGAAACCCUAAAACAUACACCCCCAAAACCAGGCGGAACACGCUAUAAGGUAAGAAUACCCUUAUUUCCCCCGUAUAGUGCAACCUAUAUUGGAAUAUUUCCCAAAAUUAUUAUUGUUUGUAUUCUAUGUUGUUUGUUUUUUUUUAAUCAGUACGAAAUUGUUAUUAUAGAUAUGCAUUUGUAACUAGCAUUGUGAAGAUCAAGAUACUCUUUUGGGACAAUAAAGGGUAACAUUAAAUUUAACUGAAUAUAUAAUUAUGUGGUUUAUGUGUUUUUCAAGGAGAUUUGGAAAGCCACGUCUUACACACAGCUACAUAGAUCUAGUAUUUAUUUGCAAUAAUGUUUGACCUAGAAUAAUUACAAUUUAACUUUUUGUACAAAUAAGUGUUUGUAUUGUCAUUGCAGGAACCAACUGUAAGAGGGUAAUUGCAGCAGCUCCGGAAAUACCACUACCAGGGACCCAG